AACGAACGCUGGCGGCAUGCCUAACACAUGCAAGUCGAACGAGACCUUCGGGUCUAGUGGCGCACGGGUGCGUAACGCGUGGGAAUCUGCCCUUAGGUACGGAAUAACUCAGGGAAACUUGAGCUAAUACCGCAUAAUGACUCCGGUCCAAAGAUUUAUCGCCUAGGGAUGAGCCCGCGUAGGAUUAGCUAGUUGGUGAGGUAAAAGCUCACCAAGGCGACGAUCCUUAGCGGUCUGAGAGGAUGAUCAGCCUCACUGGGACUGAGACACGGCCCAGACUCCUACGGGAGGCAGCAGUGGGGAAUAUUGGACAAUGGGCGCAAGCCUGAUCCAGCCAUGCCGCGUGGAUGAUGAAGGCCUUAGGGUUGUAAAGUCCUUUUAGCGGGGAA
rnacentral:rRNA from 1 species